CUGUAGGCUGCAACUCGCCUACACGAAGUCGGAAUCGCUAGUAAUCGCGGAUCAGCAUGCCGCGGUGAAUACGUUCCCGGGCCUUGUACACACCGCCCGUCACACCAUGGGAGUUUGUAACACCCGAAGUCCGUAGCCUAACCGCAAGGGGGGCGCGGCCGGAGGUGGGUUCGAUAAUUGGGGUGAAGUCGUAACAAGGUAAC
rnacentral:rRNA from 1 species